UGAAUAGCUCAGUCAGUACAGCAUGAGACUCUUAAUCUCAGAGUGGUGGGUUUGAGCCCCAUGCUGGGAAAA
rnacentral:tRNA from 1 species